rnacentral:rRNA from 1 species
ACUAAACCUAGCCCACAACUUUAUUUUAAUUAAACAACCAAGAUAAAAUAAAAUAAAACAUUCACCAACUAUUUAAAGUAUAGGAGAUAGAAAUUUUAAACACGGCGCUAUAGAUAAAGUACCGUAAGGGAACGAUGAAAGAAGAAAAUCAAAGUACAGAAAAGCAGAGAUCACCCCUCGUACCUUUCGCAUAAUGAAUUAACUAGUAACAACCUAGCAAAACGAAUUUCAGCUAAGUAACCCGAAACCAGACGAGCUACUUAUGAACAGUCUACCCAGGACCAACUCAUCUAUGUGGCAAAAUAGUGAGAAGAUUUAUAAGUAGAGGUGACACGCCUAACGAGCCUGGUGAUAGCUGGUUGUCCAGAAAAUGAGUCUUAGCUCAGCUUUAAAAAUACCAAACAUAGAACUAAAUCUAGACUGUAUUUUUAAAAGUUAAUCUAAAAGGGUACAGCCUUUUAGAAAUGGGUACAACCUUGACUAGAGAGUAAAACCCCAAAACACCAUAGUGGGCCUAAAAGCAGCCAUCAAUUGAGAAAGCGUUAAAGCUCAACAUCAAAAUCACAUAAAUUCCAACAAUAAACAAUCAACUCCUAGCCCUAAUACUGGACUAAUCUAUUAAAUAAUAGAAGAAAUAAUGUUAAUAUGAGUAACAAGAAAUAAUUUCUCCUUGCAUAAGCUUAAGUCAGUACCUGAUAAUACCCUGACCAUUAACAAUGAAUAAAAAUAACCCAACAAAUAAAUUAUUUAUUAAUCACACUGUUAAUCCAACACAGGUAUGCACUCAAGGAAAGAUUAAAAGAAGUAAAAGGAACUCGGCAAACACAAACCCCGCCUGUUUACCAAAAACAUCACCUCCAGCAUUCCUAGUAUUGGAGGCACUGCCUGCCCAGUGACAACCGUUAAACGGCCGCGGUAUCCUGACCGUGCAAAGGUAGCAUAAUCACUUGUUCUCUAAAUAAGGACUUGUAUGAACGGCCACACGAGGGUUUUACUGUCUCUUACUUCCAAUCAGUGAAAUUGACCUUCCCGUGAAGAGGCGGGAAUAAACUAAUAAGACGAGAAGACCCUAUGGAGCUUCAACUAACUGACUCAAAGAAAACAAGCUCAAUCACCAAGAGACAACAACAUUCCUCAUGAGUCAACAGUUUCGGUUGGGGUGACCUCGGAGAACAAAAAAUCCUCCGAGCGAUUCUUAAGAUAAGACCCACAAGUCAAAUCACAUUAUCGCUUAUUGAUCCAGAAAUUUGAUCAACGGAAUAAGUUACCCUAGGGAUAACAGCGCAAUCCUAUUCAAGAGUCCAUAUCGACAAUAGGGUUUACGACCUCGAUGUUGGAUCAGGACAUCCCGAUGGUGCAACCGCUAUCAAAGGUUCGUUUGUUCAACGAUUAAAGUCCUACGUGAUCUGAGUUCAGACCGGAGCAAUCCAGGUCGGUUUCUAUCUAUUAUAUAUUUCUCCCAGUACGAAAGGACAAGAGAAAUAAGGCCAACUUCAAACAAGCGCCUUAAACUAAUUAAUGAUUUCAUCUUAAUUAAUUAUAUAAACAAAUCCAGCCCUAGAGUAAGGGCUAAGUU